GUCUUCGAGGAGCGUUGCGACGGGUACCGCGAAUCUGCAUUCGCCGGCCGCCCGCCAGGCUCGAAGGCUUCAAUCGGAAGGGUCGGAUGCGCAUCGCGCGUUCCGAUCCACCGCAUCGAACCGCGCUCACGUCAA
rnacentral:ncRNA from 2 species